GAGGUGGUUACCAGUUUAAGAAGUGAGAACUUCUUCACUGACUGAAAUUUGCAUAUCAAUCCAAAUCAUUGUGCUUGUUUACUAUUUUUGUAGACGUCAUUCUUCAAAAGUGCUGCAUCUUUCAUAGUCAAGGAGGACAAAGACAUCUUUCCUGCAGGUGGUGACCAUGUGGAUAAUAGGAUCAUAGACAAAUGGUGGUUCCAUCUACAGCAUCACCAAAAUGCUGUUGUUACUGCUUCUUUCUGGGAUCUUCUUGCAUCUUUGCUUCUAAAGGGGCACACCUUUUAUAGAAGUAUGUCCAGGAAUAGAAGUGACCUGCUUUUUCGCAAUUGUCAUGGGAGGCCAGCCACCUGCUGGCAAGGAAGAUGGUUGAUUCUUCUGAUCAAUGGAGGCCCUGCAGAGUCCUGUAGUCACUGUGGCCUGGCAUCCAUGGUGCACCCAAUGCUGGUGGAUGGCUUAGGAUGAGGCAGUUGCUGUGGGAGGUGUGGUAACUGCUGGAAGGAAGAUGCUCAAUUCUUCUGAGCAACGAAGGCCUCAUGGAGUCCUGGAUUCU
rnacentral:antisense_RNA from 1 species